GGUUUAGUGUUCUAGUCUGGUAGACUGGAGGUGGUGGGUUCGAUUCCCACCUGAGUCA
rnacentral:tRNA from 1 species